rnacentral:rRNA from 1 species
UACAGAGGUGCCAAGCGUUAGGCGGAAUCACUGGGCCUAAAGCGCGCGUAGGCGGAUGUUUAAGUGUCUUGUGAAAUCCCACGGCUCAACCGUGGAACUGCUGGGCAUACUGGACAUCUCGAGGCACUCAGGGGCGAGCGGAACAAGUGGUGGAGCGGUGAAAUGCGUAGAUAUCACUUGGAACGCCAAUGGUGAAGACAGCUCGCUGGGGGUGUCCUGACGCUGAGGCGCGAAAGCGUGGGUAGCAAACGGG